ensembl:lncRNA
CAGCCAUUUAAAUAAACGCCUAGGCAGCACCUCAAGCACAAGAAGCUUGAGGGAACUUCUAACACACACACCACACACAUGCACACAAGUCCAUCUCACACCACUAAACCACCCCAAACACGUGAAAAACAAAUAAAAGCUAUGUUUGCUAUGGAAAUACAGCUCUGAAAGGAAUCCCCUGGUCCCAGGUCAUCCCUAGUCCCUCCUAUGAGGAAAGGAUUGUCAAAUCCGUAGAGGCAGAAUUUUCAGGGAUGGCCUAAUAAACAGUACUUUGGCUGCAAGUGACAGAAACCAACUUUAAACUGGCUUAUGCAAGAAGAGGACUUCUUGGCUGCAGAUGUGGCAGGGUCCAGGACUCAAAAAAUGUCACCAGUACUUCACUGUGUCUCAUCUCCAGGAUCUGCUUCCUUUACAUUGGACAUGGUGCCCCUUUGGUCCUCUUUGGAGGAAAGCAUUUUUCCCAGAGUUGUGUCCAGGCUGAUGUUGCUCGGCCCUGCCUGGGUCACAGGCCUUCCUCAGGUUAUGGGGGUUUCCCACACACCUAAACCACAUAGAUUGGUAUUGGAAGAGUGGUUCUUCCACAGGAAAAGCUGGACAUUUUCACCAGGUUGGCGAGAAGGACAUAUGCCCAUGAUAGAGAGGGUAUACUCUGAAUAAAAGAAUCAAAAUUUUCAAAAAGAGAGAAAGAGAAAAGGAUUUACAAGCUCUAGAAAGACUGAAACUAAUAGAGUGAAAUUUAUUGUGCAUAAAUGGAAACUGUAUAUUGAGUUUUCAUUAAAAAGUACAUGUAGAUAUGUAUAAACAAGUACAAGAUGAAAGAGAAAUGGCUUAAUGGUUCUCACAAAAAAUAGCUUAGUUUUUGGUUAUCAAUGAUUUUGAUAUGACUAACAACAUGAUUUGGGCACCCCAAAGUUUGCAAUGGUGGAAUUAAAGAGCUAGAUGAAGGAGGAGAUAGCGAUAUUAGUAUUUACCUCAUGACAUUUUGUCUGGAAUAUUGUGUUCAGGCCUGGGAGCCACAUUUUAAGAAGGGCACUCCCUGGUGAGCGUCCAGAAAAGGAUCAGUAUCUAAACAGAAUGGUGAGUCUUUGGUGAAGGGAAGUGCUUAUUGCUAUGGGGGCAGGGGAUGUAAUCCAGAAAGAAGAGUGUAGGGCGGCUAUUAUAGACAGAAUGCCUGCUUUGCACGUGAAGGUUGGUGUCUUCAAACAGGCCAACCAGGCAGGACACUUGGGCCUCCUGCAAAGUGCCAUGGCCCAACUCAGGAAGCACAAGUCAGGCUGCAAACCUUCAGGGACUUUCUGGACCAGUGCUGGAGAGGGCUCUUGAGGAUCAGACGCUUCUGUGAUUUCUGGUACUGCCUCACUUCUCAGAGAGUGACAGUCCUGGGCAGGUAUGGCCGCCAAGGACUUUGGGGGUUCUGGGGAUCAUGGCAGGUAUUUUUUCUAGUGAGCUUGGUGCACCACCAAGAAGGCCAAGCAGCACUUCCCACACACGAGCCUUCUCUUCAGCACGGUCUCCCGGAGCAAGAGUAGCCUCUGCACCUGCAGGGAUGUAAGGCAGCUGCAGCUGUGGACACAGCACAACUUUAGCUCUGGACCACACCCAAGCAUGUGCUUCUGUAGGCUAGGGCACUUCAUACCUUCUCAAUAGAGGUUUACCAAAGGAAGGAAUACACAAAUGAUAUUUCCAACAAUCAAACACACUGGUAAUUUCUUUUCAUAUUUUUUAGUCUAUUUUUCUUGGGGAAAAAAAAUGAAUACUUUUAAAAAAAAUUAUGUCUACUACUUCUAUCAAUUCCUGAAAGUGAGUGUUAAAGUCCCCAACUAUGAUCGUGAAUGUGUCUAUGUCUCCUUUCAGCUCUAUCAGCUUUUGCCUCAUGCAUUUUGAGGCUCAGUUGUUGGCGUGUACACAUUUAAGAUCAUUAUAUCUCCUCCUGAAGUGGGACGCCUACCACAGCAUGGUGUGCCAAGCGGUGCCAUGUCUGCACCCGGGAUCCAAACCAGUGAACCCUGGGCUGCCGAGAAGCGGAACAUGUGAACUUAACUGCUGGGCCACUGGGCUGGCCCCUUGGAUAGUCUUUUAUAUUCACCCCUAUUCUUACCCAUUCUGAUGUUCUUUCCUUCCUGAAGUUCCAAGCCUUUCUGUUAGAGAACUUCCUUUAGCCAUUUUUAAGAGCAG